rnacentral:rRNA from 1 species
GGGUUGUGAGGUUAAGCGACUAAGCGUACACGGUGGAUGCCUAGGCAAUCAGAGGCGAUGAAGGACGUGCUAAUCUGCGAUAAGCGUCGGUAAGGUGAUAUGAACCGUUACAACCGACGAUUUCCGAAUGGGGAAACCCAGUGCAAUCCGUUGCACUAUCGUUUGAUGAAUACAUAGUCAAACGAAGCGAACCGGGGGAACUGAAACAUCUCAGUACCCCGAGGAAAAGAAAUCAACCGAGAUUCCCCUAGUAGCGGCGAGCGAACGGGGAGCAGCCCAGAGUCUUAAUCAGCAUUAGCAUCAGGAGAACGGUCUGGAAAGUCCGGCAGUAAAGGGUGAUAGCCCCGUAUCCGAAGGUGUUAGUGUUGUGAACUCGACGAGUAGGGCGGGACACGUGUUAUCCUGUCUGAAUAUGGGGGGACCAUCCUCCAAGGCUAAAUACUCCUGAUUGACCGAUAGUGAACCAGUACCGUGAGGGAAAGGCGAAAAGAACCCCGGCGAGGGGAGUGAAAUAGAACCUGAAACCGUGUACGUACAAGCAGUGGGAGCC